rnacentral:rRNA from 1 species
GAUUUACAUUUGAGUGAGUGGCGAACUGGUGAGUAACACGUGGGAAACCUGCCCGGAAGCGGGGGAUAACACCUGGAAACAGAUGCUAAUACCGCAUAACAACUUGGACCGCAUGGUCCGAGUUUGAAAGAUGGCUUCGGCUAUCACUUUUGGAUGGUCCCGCGGCGUAUUAGCUAGAUGGUGAGGUAACGGCUCACCAUGGCAAUGAUACGUAGCCGACCUGAGAGGGUAAUCGGCCACAUUGGGACUGAGACACGGCCCAAACUCCUACGGGAGGCAGCAGUAGGGAAUCUUCCACAAUGGACGAAAGUCUGAUGGAGCAACGCCGCGUGAGUGAAGAAGGGUUUCGGCUCGUAAAACUCUGUUGUUAAAGAAGAACAUAUCUGAGAGUAACUGUUCAGGUAUUGACGGUAUUUAACCAGAAAGCCACGGCUAACUACGUGCCAGCAGCCGCGGUAAUACGUAGGUGGCAAGCGUUGUCCGGAUUUAUUGGGCGUAAAGCGAGCGCAGGCGGUUUUUUAAGUCUGAUGUGAAAGCCUUCGGCUCAACCGAAGAAGUGCAUCGGAAAACUGGGGAACUUGAGUGCAGAAGAGGACAGUGGAACUCCAUGUGUAGCGGUGAAAUGCGUAGAUAUAUGGAAGAACACCAGUGGCGAAGGCGGCUGUCUGGUCUGUAACUGACGCUGAAGGCUCGAAAGUAUGGGUAGCAAACAGGAUUAGAUACCCUGGUAGUCCAUACCGUAAACGAUGAAUGCUAAGUG